AGUUGUUUCAACGUUUAAUCGUUGUGAAAAGAUGUUAUCAGUACAUAUAAAACCACACACAAAGCAGACCAUGGCAAAAUACCUCAGUGUGGAACAUCCCAG